GGAGAUGGCAAAUAAGGCGGCGGCAUUCGCUCAACAAUGGUUGAGGAACGCACAACAAGUAGCAGGAGAUCGUAGAAGUGCAGAACUCUUCAAAGCUGAAGGAUUGAUGCCAUCACCACAGGAUCCUGAGCGCUUAAGUUUUUGGCUUAACACUCUGACCGCUCGUAGACCAACAGAGAAGUUAGACCUGCUUCAAAUAAGAGAUACACCUGAGAGGAUAAGGAGAGGUCUGCUAUACAUGAAACAAGAAGAACAAGGUUGCCGGCUGCAAUGAUAUUUAUUGAACAUGUAAUUAGUUCCUUUUACAUGAAAGCAGAAGAAGGCUGCCAGCUGAUAUAAUUUUAUGGUAAACCUGUAAUUAGUUCCAUUGUUUGUAAUACCAUUGGUUUUUCUGUAAAGCUCAUUUUGAUUUCAAUUUUUUUUUGAAUCCACAUUUCUAGUACUGGUGGAUCCUCAACUCAAUUUUCCUCCUUCAUAGAGAUUUAUCGUAAAAGCCUGCACUGUUAUUUAAACUAGAUUAUUCAUUUGUUGUAAACAGUGGGUUGGGUCUACC
rnacentral:misc_RNA from 1 species